rnacentral:misc_RNA from 1 species
UUUCCGUAGGUGAACCGGCGGAAGGAUCAUUAUUGUAUAACCGAGGUGCGAGGGCUGUCGCUGACCCGAAAGGUCGUGCACGCCCGAGUGCCCUCACACACAUCCAUCUCACCCCUAUGUGCACCACCGCCUGGGUCCCCCUUUGGCUUGUUCGGAGGGGGGCUUACGUUUUCACACAAACUUUGUAUGCAGUGUAGAAUGUAUUUUUUGUUUUUGCGAUCACGCAAUCAAUACAACUUUCAACAACGGAUCUCUUGGCUCUC